UACCAGCACCCCGAGUUGUCGGGACGAUUAUUGGGCCUAAAGCAUCCGUAGCCGGUCCUGCAAGUCCUCCGUUAAAUCCACCCGCUCAACGGUUGGGCCGCGGGGGGAUACUACAGGGCUAGGAGGCGGGAGAGGCAAGCGGUACUCGAUGGGUAGGGGUAAAAUCCACUGAUCCAUUGAAGACCACCAGUGGCGAAGGCGGCUUGCCAGAACGCGCUCGACGGUGAGGGAUGAAAGCUGGGGGGAGCAAACCGGG
rnacentral:rRNA from 1 species